GGAAGUGGAUAGGUCGCUGGUGGGCCUCCCGGACUUCAAAUCCGGUGAUGGGCGCUAAAACCGCCCAUGGUGGGUUCGAUUCCCAUGCACUUCCGCCA
rnacentral:tRNA from 1 species